rnacentral:rRNA from 1 species
GACGAACGCUGGCGGCGUGCUUAACACAUGCAAGUCGAACGAAGAGCGAUGGAAGCUUGCUUCUAUCAAUCUUAGUGGCGAACGGGUGAGUAACGCGUAAUCAACCUGCCCUUCAGAGGGGGACAACAGUUGGAAACGACUGCUAAUACCGCAUACGAUCCAAUCUCGGCAUCGGGACUGGAUGAAAGGUGGCCUCUAUUUAUAAGCUAUCACUGAAGGAGGGGAUUGCGUCUGAUUAGCUAGUUGGAGGGGUAACGGCCCACCAAGGCGAUGAUCAGUAGCCGGUCUGAGAGGAUGAACGGCCACAUUGGGACUGAGACACGGCCCAGAAUCCUACGGGAGGCAGCAGUGGGGAAUCUUCCGCAAUGGACGAAAGUCUGACGGAGCAACGCCGCGUGAGUGAUGACGGCCUUCGGGUUGUAAAGCUCUGUUAAUCGGGACGAAUGGUUCUUGUGCGAAUAGUGCGAGGAUUUGACGGUACCGGAAGAGAAAGCCACGGCUAACUACGUG